rnacentral:rRNA from 1 species
GACGAACGCUGGCGGCGUGCCUAAUACAUGCAAGUAGAACGCUGAGGACUGGUGCUUGCACUGGUCUAAGGAGUUGCGAACGGGUGAGUAACGCGUAGGUAACCUACCUCAUAGCGGGGGAUAACUAUUGGAAACGAUAGCUAAUACCGCAUGACAAUAGGGUACACAUGUACCCUAUUUAAAAGGGGCAAAUGCUUCACUAUGAGAUGGACCUGCGUUGUAUUAGCUAGUUGGUAAGGUAACGGCCCACCAAGGCGACGAUCGGUAGCCGGACUGAGAGGUUGAACGGCCACAUUGGGACUGAGACACGGCCCAG